rnacentral:lncRNA from 1 species
AUGCCAAAAUCGUGUCACGAUUUCCCUGUUCUUCCAGACCACAAAUUUGAAGACAAUCUCAACACUUCUCAAAUUUUGUCUACUAUGUGUUGGAUUAUGAUGGAAGCCUAAAACUUUGAAUCAUUAUCACAUUGAGAUGAGAUAUGAACAACCACAUAAAUGUCUUAGAAUUAAAUCUUCAACAAAAAAAAGAUGUGUGAUCCGUGUUGGUUAAGGGAUAUGACUCUUCUAAAGAGCAUAUUGUCAACCAUUGAUUAAAAAGUUCAAUGUGAAAUUGCAUGUGUAUCAAAAUAGAUUAUGAGUUUGUUGAAAUAACAAACCUUAAUUGUUUUCACCUUACAUAAUAGCCAUUUUAGAGGACUUAAUUUUUAUUUUUAUUUGAGUGGAUGAGGAGUUAAAUUUGUUUGUCAAACCUUAAUUGUUUUCGCCUUAC